rnacentral:sRNA from 1 species
AUAAAUAGUUCAUGUAUCUCCAACAGCGUUCCACAUACCCCAAGAGCUGUGGGACUACGAGUGGGAAGUUGGUGCAGAAGUCCUAGACUAUGUUUCUCCAAGAUUAAGUCUGUUCAAAAUAGUCAUUUCAAGGAACCUCUGGUGUCAGAUGAAAAGAGUUCUGAACUUAUUAUUACUGAUUCAAUAACCCUGAAGAAUAAAACGGAAUCAAGUCUUCUAGCUAAAUUAGAAGAAACUAAAGAGUAUCAAGAACCAGAGGUUCCAGAGAGUAACCAGAAACAGUGGCAAUCUAAGAGAAAGUCAGAGUGUAUUAACCAGAAUCCUGCUGCAUCUUCAAAUCACUGGCAGAUUCCGGAGUUAGCCCGAAAAGUUAAUACAGAGCAGAAACAUACCACUUUUGAGCAACCUGUCUUUUCAGUUUCAAAACAGUCACCACCAAUAUCAACAUCUAAAUGGUUUGACCCAAAAUCUUUUUGUAAGACACCAAGCAGCAAUACCUUGGAUGAUUACAUGAGCUGUUUUAGAACUCCAGUUGUAAAGAAUGACUUUCCACCUGCUUGUCAGUUGUCAACACCUUAUGGCCA